UACAAAUUAAUAAAAAUAUUUUAAAUAAAUUUUCCUUUCGUACUAAAAUAUUUUAAUAGUUUAAAGAUAGAAACCAACCUGGCUUACACCGGUUUGAACUCAGAUCAUGUAAGAUUUCAAUGAUCGAACAGAUCAAAUUACUUAACUUCUUCAUUAAACUUAAAUCUUAAUCCAACAUCGAGGUCGCAAACUUUAUUUUUUAUAUGAACUAAAAAAAAAAAUUACGCUGUUAUCCCUAAGGUAAUUUAAUCUUAUAAUUAAAAAAAAAUUAGAACAUUAUACCAAUUAACUAUGUAUACAAAAAAAAAAAGUUACUUAAAUUUUUCUACUUCCCCAAUAAAAUAUUUAAUUUAAAAAAUUUAAUAUAAUUAAAUAAAUAAUUUAUAUUAAAUAUAAAAUUCUAUAGGGUCUUCUCGUCUUUUAAAAAUAUUUUAUCUUUUUAAAUAAAAAAUUAAAUUUUAAAAAUUAAAUAAAGACAGUUAUUAUCUCAUCAAAUCAUUCAUUCAAGUCACCAAUUAAGAAACUAUUGAUUAUGCUACCUUUGUACAGUCAAUUUACCGCAGCCCUUUAAUAUUUAAUCAGUGGGCAGAUCAGACUUUAAAUAAUACAAACUAAAAGACAUGUUUUUGAUAAACAAGUGAAUAAUCAAUAUAACAAAAUAAUAAUAAAAUAUCACUAAAUAAAUAAAAUUUGCCUAAUUCCUUUAAUUAAAUUUAUAAAUUAAACUAUUAUUAAAUAUUAUUAUUUAUAAUAAUUUUAACAUUAUUUCUUAAAUUAAACAAUUAAAAAAAAUAUUUCCAUAAAAAAUUAAAUCAUAUUCUAUUAAAUAAUAAAAUUUUAAUAAAAUUAUUUAUAAAAAAUUAAAAUUAAAAAAAAAUUCAAAUUUUAAAAAUUUUUUAAUUAAAUAAUUAAAUUAUAAAAAUAUAAAAAAAAGCUUAUCCCUUAAAAUAUAAAAAAUAAAUUUAAACAAAUUAAAUUAAUUAAUUUAUUAAUUAAUUUAAUUUAAAAUUAAAUUUUUUUCUGGAAAAAAUAGAUAUAUUUAAAAACGAUUAACAUUUCAUUUCAAAUUAAUUAUUAUAAAUAAUUAUUCAACAUUAAACUAAUUAACUAAUUAACUCUUUUAAAUUCGAAAAUAUUAAAAAAAAUAAAAUUUAUUUAUAAAACUCUGAUACACAAGAUAAAUUAAACAAAAAAUACUUUACAUUAAAUUAAAUAUCAAAAUAUUUCAAUUUUCCCAUUAAAUACUAAUUCCUUAUAAAUUUAAAAAUUAAUUCUAAUUAAAUACUAUAACCCCCAUUAUAAUAAAUUAAAAUUAAUUUUAUUAAAUAUAAAAUUAUUAAAUCCCUUCCCCC
rnacentral:rRNA from 1 species